rnacentral:rRNA from 1 species
AACGCGAAGAACCUUACCAGGUCUUGACAUCCCAAUGCAAGCAUUAGAGAUAGUGCCCUUCUUCGGAACAUUGGAGACAGGUGGUGCAUGGUUGUCGUCAGCUCGUGUCGUGAGAUGUUGGGUUAAGUCCCGCAACGAGCGCAACCCUUGAUCUUAGUUGCCAGCACUUUGGGUGGGCACUCUAGGAUGACUGCCGGUGACAAACCGGAGGAAGGUGGGGAUGACGUCAAAUCAUCAUGCCCCUUAUGACCUGGGCUACACACGUACUACAAUGGCCGAUACAACGGGAAGCGAAACCGCGAGGUGGAGCCAAUCCUAUCAAAGUCGGUCUCAGUUCGGAUUGCAGGCUGCAACUCGCCUGCAUGAAGUCGGAAUUGCUAGUAAUCGCGGAUCAGCAUGCCGCGGUGAAUACGUUCCCGGGCCUUGUACACACCGUAGUAC